ensembl:misc_RNA Metazoa_SRP Metazoan signal recognition particle RNA
GCCAGGUGUGGUGGUGCACACCUGUAAUCCUAGCUACCCAGGAGGCUGAGGUAGGAGGAUCUCUUGAGCCCAGGAGUUUCAGGCUGCAGUGAGCUAUGAUUGCCCCACUGCACUUUAGCCUGGGUGACAAGGAGAGACCCUGUCUCUG